rnacentral:rRNA from 1 species
GACGAACGCUGGCGGCAUGCUUAAUACAUGCAAGUCGAACGGAAAGGCCCUGCUCUUGUUGGGCGCUUGAGUGGCGAACGGGUGAGUAACACGCGAGUAACCUGCACUUGACUUUGGGAUAUCUUUAGGAAACAGGGGCUCAUACCGGAUAGGAGCUUCUGCUGCAUGGUGGGGGUUGGAAAGUUUCGGCGGUUGGGGAUGGACUCGCGGCUUAUCCGCUUGUUGGUGAAGUAGUGGAUUACCAAGCGUGCGACGGGUAGCCGGCCUGAGAGGGUGACCGGCCACAUUGGGACUGAGAGAGGGACCAGUCGGCUAUGGGAGGCAGCAGUGGAGAGUAUUACAGAGUGGGCGGGAGCCAGAGGCAGCAGCGCCGCGUGCGGAAUAACGUCCUAUGAGUGGUAAACAGCUGUCUACUUAGAUGAAGAGUGAGUGACGGUAAUGAGUAAAAAAGCAACGGCUAACUACGUG